AGGAUUAACGCUGGCGGCGUGCAUGAAACAUGCAAGUCGAGCGCGGUGUGAUGCGGGGUAACCCAAUUCACAUCUAGCGGCGAAUGGGUGAGUAACACGUGAGCAACCUACCUUUGAGUUGGGGAUAGCCCUGGGAAACCAGGAUUAAUACCCGAUGUGGUCACAACAGGACAUCCUGAUGUGAGUAAAGGCGUAAGCCGCUCAAUGACGGGCUCGCGGCCUAUUAGCUUGUUGGUGGGGUAACGGCCUACCAAGGCGAUGAUGGGUAGCUGGUCUGAGAGGACGAUCAGCCACACUGGGACUGAGACACGGCCCAGACUCCUACGGGAGGCAGCAGUUAGGAAUUUUCCGCAAUGGGCGAAAGCCUGACGGAGCAACGCCGCGUGAGUGAUGAAGACCUUCGGGUUGUAAGCUCUGUCGGAGGGGAAGAACACAAUGACGGUACCCUCCAAGAAACGCCCGGCUAACUACGUGCCAGCAGCCGACGGUAA
rnacentral:rRNA from 1 species